rnacentral:rRNA from 1 species
AUACGUAGGGGGCAAGCGUUGUCCGGAAUUACUGGGCGUAAAGGGUGCGUAGGCGGUAUGGUAAGUUAGAUGUGAAAUCCCCGGGCUUAACUCGGGAGUUGCAUUUAAAACUGUCAGACUAGAGUGCAGGAGAGGAAAGCGGAAUUCCUAGUGUAGCGGUGAAAUGCGUAGAUAUUAGGAGGAACACCAGUGGCGAAGGCGGCUUUCUGGACUGUAACUGACGCUGAGGCACGAAAGCGUGGGGAGC